CUUGUUGAUCUAAAUAUAUAAUGUUAACAGGAAGAGAAAAAAGGGGCAAUGUGCUUGAAAGAGUCCAAACUCACCAACCACCAUGAUGAGUUUAAGGGCUCUCUUCUCAGCAUGAAGGCAGUUAUCAAACAACAUCUACAUGAAACAGAGUUGCUGACUGUUACAUCCUAAACAAAAAGUGGUACUGUAGAAGAAAGCUCAUUCAGACUGGU